GCUCUGUAAAGAGGCUGGCAUUAGAAUGGGCAGACAACCAGCCAUAGAAAUCAAGCCAAAACAGACUAUGAAACUUGAUGCAGCCCUUGGCCUUGCCAAUUCCUGUUAAGCCAUCCAACCCAUGCCAGCAUGGAAAACAGAUGUCAAUGAUGA